CUUGUUUGGGGAGCUUUAUUUUGAGAAUAUAAGAGCUAAUUUGUCUUAACAUAUUUUUAUAAUUUUUUUAAAUAUAAAUGUUGAAAGGUGUUUAUAUUCGUUAUUUUCAAAAUAAUAAGGGCUUAUUUCAGAUAAAAAUAUAGAUGUGUGUGCUUUUCUACAUAAACAAGUUAGUCGAACGGUCACAUAAUGUGCCGAUUAUCAGAUGUUUACGAAUGAAAAAGUUAAAAUUAAAAUGAUUGAAUUAUAUUUUAUUCAGUUCUGAACUAUAAUACUUCCUCUGUUCUAAAAUAAGUGUCAUUUUGACUUUUUACAUGUAUUUUGAGGUGUAAAAAAAAAUAAAUCAUAUUUCUACACAUUAAUUUUCGAAAUUUCUUUUUUUAAAUAAAAAUUUAAACAUCUAUAUUUUUAUUCAGAAAAAAAUUGAAAAAUAAUAUGUAAAAAUAU
rnacentral:lncRNA from 1 species